rnacentral:rRNA from 1 species
AUCCUGGCUCAGGAUGAACGCUAGCGACAGGCCUAACACAUGCAAGUCGAGGGGCAGCGCGGGAGAAGCUUGCUUUCCUGGCGGCGACCGGCGCACGGGUGCGUAACAGGUGUGCAAUCUGUCCAUAGUCGGGGGAUAGCCCAGCGAAAGCUGAAUUAACACUCCAUGUGAAUCGAAGCCGCAUGACUUUGAUUUGAAACGCAAGGACUAUGGGUGAGCACGCUUCUGAUUAGGUAGUUGGUGGGUAACGGCCCACCAAGCCGACGAUCAGUAGGGGUUCUGAGAGGAAGGUCCCCCACAUUGGAACUGAGACACGGUCCAAACUCCUACGGGAGGCAGCAGUGAGGAAUAUUGGUCAAUGGGCGAGAGCCUGAACCAGCCAAGUCGCGUGAAGGAAUGAAGGUUCUAUGGAUUGUAAACUUCUUUUGUCCGAGGGUAAAAAAGGCCACGUGUGGCUUCUUGCAAGUAUCGGACGAAUAAGCAUCGGCUAACUCCGUGCCAGCAGCUGC